rnacentral:rRNA from 1 species
CCUACGGGGGGCAGCAGUGAGGAAUAUUGGUCAAUGGGCGCAAGCCUGAACCAGCCAAGUCGCGUGAAGGAUGACUGCCCUACGGGUUGUAAACUUCUUUUAUAAAGGAAUAAAGUGCGGCACGUGUGCCGUUUUGUAUGUACUUUAUGAAUAAGGAUCGGCUAACUCCGUGCCAGCAGCCGCGGUAAUACGGAGGAUCCGAGCGUUAUCCGGAUUUAUUGGGUUUAAAGGGUGCGUAGGCGGGCUGUUAAGUCAGUGGUGAAAGUUUGUGGCUCAACCAUAAAAUUGCAAUUGAUACUGGGAGGCUUGAGUAUGUUUGAGGCAGGCGGAAUGCGUGGUGUAGCGGUGAAAUGCUUAGAUAUCACGAAGAACCCCGAUUGCGAAGGCAGCCUACUAAGCCAUGACUGACGUUGAUGCACGAAAGCGUGGGGAUCAAACAGGAUUAGAUACCCUUGUAGUC